rnacentral:rRNA from 1 species
AGCCCUAGAAAAUAUCUGAGGUGUAACCUGCCCAUUGGUCUUAAAUUUAAAACAAAAAAAAGUUGUUUAAUAAGACUUAAAGGACGCGGUAACCUUGACCGUGAUAAUGUAGCAUAAUCACUCCCCACUUAAUUGGUGGAUAGUAUGAAUGGUUGAACGAAUAUUCCACUGUCUUAAAGAGAAAUUAACAAAAAUUAAAAUAAUAGUUAAGAUACUAUUUUAAGUUGUAAGACGAAAAGACCCUAUAGAGCUUAACUAUUCUCUUUUUAAUAUAAACAAAAAGAGAGGUAGUUUAAUUGGGGCGAUUAUCUUCUAAAAGUAACGAAGACGAGUAUAAUUAAUAAAAAAUAAUUGUUUAAUUAAUAAAUUUAACAAAUACUAAAGUAGACUAUAAUGACCCGUUAUAUAUUGAUAAAAAUUAUAACGAUCAACAAAUAAAAGCUACCUUAGGGAUAACAGGAUAAUUUCAUUUUAGAGAUCUUAUCGAAAAUGAAGUUUGUCACCUCUAUGUUGAAUUAAGACAUCCUGAUAAUGCAGAAGUUAUCGAAGGUAGGUCUGUUCGACCUUUAAAGUCUUA